ensembl:misc_RNA 7SK 7SK RNA
GGAUGUGAGGGUGAUCUGGCUGAGUCAUCUGUCACCCCAUUGAUCGCCAGGGGCUGAUUCGGCUGAUCUGGCUGGCUAGGCCAGUAUGCCCUUCCUCCCUCACCGCUCCAUGUGUGUCCCUCCCAAAGCUGUGCAAUCAGUCAAGGAAGACGACCAUCCCUGAUAGAGGAGGACCGGUCUUUGGUCAAGGGUAUACGAGUAUCUGCGCUCCCCUGCUAGACCCUCCAAACAAGCUCCCAAGAAAAAGUUCAGGUCACAGAGGUUAUAUGGGUCACAGAAAUUCUGCAGCUCAUAUGCAGAUCAUAGAGGCUGUGCAGGUUAUG